GUUAAAAAGCUCGUAGUUGGAUUUCUGUCAGUGAGUUGCAGUCCGCCCACAGCGGUUGGUACUUGCUACGCCACUGGCAUCUUCCUGGGGAAUGUGUCUGCUCUUUAUUGAGUGGCGCACAAUCCAGGACUUUUACUUUGAAGAAAUGAGAGUGUUUCAAGCAGGCAUGCGCCGUGAAUACGUUAGCAUGGGAUAAUAGCAUCGGACCUCGUUCCAAAGCUGUUGGUUUCUUGGACCGAGGUAAAGGUGAAUAGGGAUUGUUGGGGGCAUUCGUAUUUGACUGUCAGAGGUGAAAUUCUUGGAUUUGUUGAAGACGGACUACUGCGAAAGCAUCUGCCAAAGAUGUUCUCAUUGAUCAAGAACGAAAGUUAGGUGAUCGAAGACGAUCAGAUACCGUCCUAGUCUUAACCAUAAACUAUGCCGACUGGAGAUCGGGGGUCGUUAAUUACGUGACGCCCUCUGCAUCUUGAGAGAAAUCAAAGUCUUUGGGUUCCGGGGGGAGUAUGGUCGCAAGGCUGAAACUUAAAGGAAUUGACGGAAGGGCACCACCAGGAGUGGAGCCUGCGGCUUAAUUUGACUCAACACGGGGAAACUUACCAGGUCCAGACAUAGUAAGGAUUGACAGACUGAUAGCUCUUUCGAGAUUCUAUGGGUGGUGGUGCAUGGCCGUUCUUAGUUGGUGGAGUGAUUUGUCUGGUUAAUUCCGUUAAC
rnacentral:rRNA from 1 species